rnacentral:pre_miRNA from 1 species
UGUGGCACCUUAGAGACUAACAAAUUUAUUUGAGCAUAAGUUUUCAUUUUUUUAUUUAUGCUCAAAUAAAUUUGUUAGUCUCUAAGGUGCCAC